rnacentral:lncRNA from 1 species
GGUCAAUGCAGAUCAAUGGGGGGCAAUAGGGUCAAUGGGGAUCAAUGGGGUCAGGGGGGUUAUGGGGUCAGCAGACCCCUCUCAGCCCCCCAACCCUAUGGGAUAUUAUGGGAUGUCAGGCUCCCCUAUGGGGCCAUUGCCCACUGUCUUAUGGGAUAUUAUGGGAUGUGGGGACCCCAGGUGACCCCAUAACUCCGCCCAGCCCCUCGACCCUAUGGGAUAUUAUGGGAUGUCAGGUUCCUCUAUAGGGCUGGCGCUCACUGUCUUAUGGGAUAUUAUGGGAUGUCAGGCUGCCCUAUGGGGCCCCAUAACUCCUCCCAGCCCCUCGACCCUAUGGGAUAUUAUGGGAUGUCAGGCUGCCCUAUGGGGCCAACGCCCACUGUCUUAUGGGAUAUUAUGGGAUGUCAGGCCGCCCUAUGGGGCCGGUGCUCACUGUCUUAUGGGAUAUUAUGGGAUGUCAGGCCGCCCUAUGGGGCCGGCGCUCACUGUCUUAUGGGAUAUUAUGGGAUGUCAGGCUCCCCUACGGGGCCCCAUAACUCCUCCCAGCUCCUCGACCCUAUGGGAUAUUAUGGGAUGCCAGGCUCCCCUACGGGGCCAGCGCCCACUGUCUUAUGGGAUAUUAUGGGAUGUCAGGUUCCUCUAUAGGGCUGGCGCUCACUGUCUUAUGGGAUAUUAUGGGAUGUCAGGCUCCCCGAUGGGCCCCAUAACGCCUCCCAGCCUCUUGGCCCUAUGGGAUAUUAUGGGAUGCCAGGCUCCCCUGUGGGACCGGCGCUCACUGUCUUACAGGAUAUUAUGGGAUGCCAGGCUCCCCUACGGGGCCGGCGCUCACCGGCACCGCGGCCCCCCGACCCGAUGGGAUAUUAUGGGAUGUCAGGCUGGCACUCACUGGCACUGCGGCCCGGCUGUGGACACCCUGCAGUCCCCGUUGUUGCAGUCGAUGGUGUGGGGGGUGUUUGGGGCGCAGGCGGUGACGCAGCGAACGGUGGAACCCGAGGUGACGGCGUAGUAAUAGGGCUGGAAGCCAGCGGGGGCGCGGGACGAGCAGACGUCUGGGGGGAUUUAUGGGGUUAAUGGGGUCAGAGGGGGUUAUGGGGUCAGAGGGUUAUGGGGUCAGAGAGGUUAUGGGGUUGUGGGGU